rnacentral:rRNA from 1 species
UACGUAGGGUGCAAGCGUUGUCCGGAUUUAUUGGGCGUAAAGAGCUCGUAGGCGGUCUGUCGCGUCGGAUGUGAAAACCCAGGGCUCAACCCUGGGCCUGCAUUCGAUACGGGCAAGCUAGAGUAUUGCAGGGGAGACUGGAAUUCCUGGUGUAGCGGUGAAAUGCGCAGAUAUCAGGAGGAACACCGGUGGCGAAGGCGGGUCUCUGGGCAAUAACUGACGCUGAGGAGCGAAAGCGUGGGGAGCGAACAGG